CACUCAUCUCAAGUGUUUCGAGUUGAAAUGGACAUAAUUGCACGGUGCCUGUACCAUAUAUACCGUAGAAAUUCAUAUUUUCAAUAUGAUGUAUAUAAUAACACAAGUAUCACAAAACAAAGGCAAUGUGUGCACCACAGCUCAUAGUUCGAAUAUCCGUUUUAUACUGAAAAACGCAAAUAUGCACGCAUAUUUACAUACGCAUAUAUACAUACACUCACAAAGUGACAUUUGCUCAUCAUUUAUACUCGUAUAAGGCAAGACAAUAUUGAUCACUUUUUGAAGCCUUAUCGGUAUAUAAUAGUUAUAUAUUUCAACAUGUAAGAUUCUGCAUUAAAUGCAGAGAGAAUUUUGAAAUUUUGAAGUGACUUUGAUCAUUCUGCAAUAUAACAAAAAUUAGUUUUUUCAAGGUACUUUCAUAACACCUGCCACAUUGAAAAUAUGAAUUUCUGCGGUAUAUAUGACACAGGCAAUCAUGUCCGUUCCUCAGCUCAAAACACUUGAGAUGAGUGUAAACUAUUUUGAGAGAUACAUUUUGACGAAACGCAUCAAAAAUUUGGGAGGCAUCAAAAUCAGGCCUUACAGAUAAUCAUCCUUUAAGUCUUGUGAAAUAUUUUCUUUUUUUAUUUUAAUAAUCCAUUAAUUAUUUAUACAUUCUUAAACAAAAGAAUAUUUCUCUUCCAUUAAUACCAGAAAAUACGAGUAAAUCUACCUAAAAUACAAAAUUUUUCUAUUUUUUAAGAAAUGUAUUCAAGUUUUUAAUUAUUAAUUUAUAUACAUAUAUACAAAGGUAAUUUGAAAAUUUUGCGACUUAACAAUAAAAGCAUGCAACUUUGUUUCAAA